rnacentral:rRNA from 1 species
UACGAAGGGGGCUAGCGUUGCUCGGAAUUACUGGGCGUAAAGGGAGCGUAGGCGGACAUUUAAGUCAGGGGUGAAAUCCCGAGGCUCAACCUCGGAACUGCCUUUGAUACUGGAUGUCUUGAGUGUGAGAGAGGUGAGUGGAACUCCGAGUGUAGAGGUGAAAUUCGUAGAUAUUCGGAAGAACACCAGUGGCGAAGGCAGCUCCCUGGACCUGUACUGACGCUCAUGCACGAAAGCGUGGGGAGCGAACAGG